AUGGUCGAUGGUGUAGGGAGCCGAGGGGGAGUGCCUUCGCCCGAGGAUCCGAUCUUGGACGCGGGCGCGGAAGGUGUGAGGGAGGAAGCGGCGGCGGAUGGCCAUCAGGAACAGGAACAUGAUUGGGAUAACUUAGGGCAUGAUCCAGCCCUGGAAGAUGCCUUCGAAGGCCUGAAACUUCAUGGUGAAGAGGAGGAGGAUUUGGAUCUGUCGGGGGAGGUUGAAGAUCUCAUAAAGGAGGUUCGUUGGCUGUGCUUGUUUAGGGUUCAUACGUUGAGACCGUUUAGCCAUGCGGCUCUGCUGAACUCGUUGAGGAACGCUUGGUCUUGCGCCCAGGGUGUCACGUUUAACAUCAAAGGCCCUAAUCUAUUCUUGGCACAGUGUCACUGCUUGGGGGAUUGGAAGCGGGUAAUGGAAGGAGGGCCCUGGCAGUUCCGUAGAGAUCCGGUUGUUAUCGUUGAGUAUGAUGGAUUUACGAAUGUUGCUGAGUAUGACUUGGAUAUGUACCCUUUAUGGGCUAGAAUUAAAGGGCUACUAGAUGGUCUAACAAGGAAGAAGGAGUUGGCCGAAAGAGUGGCCAAAAAGGUGGGCAUGCGGCGUGGCUGUAAAUGA
rnacentral:rRNA from 1 species